GCUGGAAAAUAUCUACUGGCAUAUACGAAGAAGGGGCUUAACAGGGGCAAGAUAGUAGCGGGGGAAUCCAGAAGUUCACGCUACAGAUGGUGCUGGCAUGGGCCAGGAUGUAGGAGGGCAAGUGACAAAAAUGAGGGGUGGAUUGUGAAUAGGUAUUAAAGACCCAGCCAAUAGCUUUUCUUCUUGUACUCAGUUAUGGAGUGUGACAUAAAACGUGGAACGGAGAAGAACUGCACAGGUUUAGUUCUGAGUAGCUUAGCACACGUAGCUGCCGUUGUCUGAAGUGCCCAAUGGAAGAAGUCGGAGACUCUGUGGACGUGAGCCCUGCACGUGGCUUGUGGUUAUGUAGGAAGAGAAACUGUGGACACAGAAGCCAGGACUCCACUGGAGGUCAGGGCAAGACCUCCGAGAGGCUGCUGGCACAGAAGGCAUUUUCAGGCCACACAGCUAAAUAAGAGCCCCCGAGGAGAAACCGUGCCUGCGGAUUUCAGUGCUUCCACAUUACGGCAUCGAAAGGAUGAGAGAUGAGUGAAAGAGAGGUCAAAGGAGGUGCAGGUGAAAUACAGCAACAAGGUGCGAUGUCUCAGAAGCCAGGAAAAAGGUACGAUGGACCCUAUCAAAUACCACAGAUUAUUGUAUAUAAAAUAGCUUCUGAAGCCGAAUCACUACAUUUCGCACUUUG
rnacentral:lncRNA from 1 species